UACGAAGGGGGCUAGCGUUGUUCGGAAUCACUGGGCGUAAAGGGCGCGUAGGCGGCCGUUCAAGUCGGGGGUGAAAGCCUGUGGCUCAACCACAGAAUUGCCUUCGAUACUGGACGGCUCGAGACCGGAAGAGGUCAGUGGAACUGCGAGUGUAGAGGUGAAAUUCGUAGAUAUUCGCAAGAACACCAGUGGCGAAGGCGGCUGACUGGUCCGGUUCUGACGCUGAGGUGCGAAAGCGUGGGGAGCAAACAGG
rnacentral:rRNA from 1 species